AGAGUUUGAUCCUGGCUCAGGAUAAACGCUAGCGGCGUGCUUUAUGCAUGCAAGUCGAACGGUACCGAUGAACCAAGCUUGCUUGGAGCAUUGGGAGAGUGGCAAACGGGUGAGUAACGCGUAAGUAACCUGCCCCUAAGUGGGGGAUAACCCUGGGAAACCGGGGCUAAUACCGCAUGUGGUAAUGGAGGUAAUGCUUCAUUACUAAAGCCUUAGGGUGCUUAGGGAGGGGCUUGUGUCCGAUUAGCUAGUUGGUAGGGUAACGGCUUACCAAGGCGAUGAUCGGUAGCUGGUUUGAGAGGAUGGUCAGCCACACUGGGACUGAGACACGGCCCAGACUCCUACGGGAGGCAGCAGCAAGGAAUCUUGUGCAAUGGGCGAAAGCCUGACACAGCGACGUCGCGUGGGGGAGGAAGGCCUUCGGGUUGUAAACCCCUUUUCUCAGGGAAGAAUAAUGACGGUACCUGAGGAAUAAGUCUCGGCUAACUACGUGCCAGCAGCCGCGGUAAUACGUAGGAGGCGAGCGUUAUCCGGAUUUACUGGGCGUAAAGAGGGCGCAGGCGGCCUUUCAAGUCGGAUGUAAAAUCUCCCGGCUCAACUGGGAGGGACCAUUCGAUACUGUUGGGCUAGAGAGCAGCAGGGGGAGGUGGAAUUCCCGGUGUAGUGGUGAAAUACGUAGAUAUCGGGAGGAACACCAGUGGCGAAGGCGACCUCCUGGGCUGUUUCUGACGCUGAGGCCCGAGAGCGUGGGGAGCGAACAGGAUUGGAUACCCUGGUAGUCCACGCUGUAAACGAUGGACACUAGUAUGGGGAGUAUCGACCCUCUCCGUGCCGUAGUUAACGCUUUAAGCGUCCCGCCUGGGGAGUACGGUCGCAAGACUAAAACUCAAAGGAAUUGACGGGGGCUCGCACAAGCAGCGGAGCGUGUGGUUUAAUUCGAUGCACACGAAGAACCUUACCAAGCUUGACAUGUCGAAGUAGCGACCCGAAAGGUGAGCGACCUGUAAAUCAGGAGCCGUCACAGUGCUGCAUGCUGUCGUCAGCUCGUGCCUGAGGUGUUAGUAAGUCCUGUACGAGCGCACCCUUGUUGCAGUAAUUUCCUGCGACUGGCUGCAACGGAGUAGGUAGAUGACGUCAGUCA
rnacentral:rRNA from 1 species